UGAUGCGUGAGUGAAGGACACCCACGCACUCAGAAAGCAGAACACAGCCAAUUAUCUCCCAUCUGUGUUUGCGGCCUCAGUUGCUGGGACCGCUACUAUCAGUCCCAGGAUACUAAAGACUGAAGAGCUGCUGCUUGGCGAAGCAGAGGCAUUUCCAUCCAUCCUAAAUACAGCUCCAUGUCACUGUUGCCGGAGAAGAGGAACAAGGAGUGGGCUCUUAAUCAGGAGGUGUGCAG